UCUACGGCCAUACCACCCUGAAUGUGCCUGAUCUCAGAAGCUAAGCAUGGUUGGGCCUGGUUAGUGCUUGGAUGAGAGAAACUAAGAAGAGCUGAUGGAA
rnacentral:rRNA from 1 species